rnacentral:rRNA from 1 species
UACGUAGGGGGCGAGCGUUGUCCGGAUUUAUUGGGCGUAAAGAGCUCGUAGGCGGUUUGGCAAGUCGGGUGUGAAAACUCCGGGCUCAACUCGGAGACGCCACUCGAUACUGCUAUGACUCGAGUCCGGUAGGGGAGUGCGGAAUUCCUGGUGUAGCGGUGAAAUGCGCAGAUAUCAGGAGGAACACCGGUGGCGAAGGCGGUUCUCUGGGCAUGUCCUGACGCUGAGGAGCGAAAGUGUGGGGAGCGAACAGG